UUUACGCAGGGUUUACAUUCUUUCCGCUUUGAUCUUGAGCGCAGCCGCGAGCACCUUCCGGGCCCCUGCGCCUCGCCUGGGCCUCAGGGCCCCCAGCCGUCCCAGCCCGCCACCCCCACUCCUGCCCGGGGACAUAGGUCCGGCUUGCCGUGUAACAGGGCAGCUGGCCCCGGAAAGAUCCAGCCCUAGAGCCCCACCGAAGUGCUGGAGAGCGGCUAGAACCCUCUUCCGGUUCGAGGAGCCAGUGAGCACCGCGGGUUUUGUUCCAGAGUUACUUGGGAGACCACCUGCCUCAAAUCCUUCUGACUCAUUCCUGUAAAACACGUGAUGCUCCCAGUCAGAGGGCGAGAUGUGACCUGCUAUCUUGUUCUCCAGAGAAGCUAACGAAAACAUGGAGACUCAUGGACAUGUCUAGGUGUUGAAUCUCCUAGAUCCUGCUUUAUCAGAGAGCUGUGGAGAGUACAGUGCCAUCCUGUGUGAUGGGCCCUCCAUCACGUGCUUUUUUACCCUGAAGAAUGAAGUGCAGAGGAUGGUGAGCACUAUGGAGGAGGAGAAGAAUAACAGAAUGAACCCAAAUAGUGAAGCACACAGGAAAGACAUGUCAGCCAAUUCACAACUGACAUAUUUAUACAAAUAUUGGGCAGAAAUUUCCAACUUUCGAAAAAGCAAAACUAUGGUACCGUUGUCCAAGGAAAGAUGUAAGCAAUGAGAGGCUUUGAUGGGCUGGAGCUGUUAUAAUGACUUUGGCGCUGGGCCACUUCCUCAUCUGUGACAUUUAUCAUGCAGCAAUAUGCGGGAUCUUGAUUGGAAGCUCAUGCUGUGAAAUACAAUGAAUGUAAUAUCUAGAAAACAAGGGAGAACAGAUGUAGCUGGGUUGUAUAAUCCAGCAUGACACUCAUUAUCCUUAUGAAAGGAAUAACUAUCAAGCUUGAAAGACGGAAAAUAGAUGCAGCCAAGAUGGCCAGAAUUCUGCCUAGUUUUAAAAGAUGCCUGUAAUUUCUGUACCUGGGAAUAGUCAUUAUGAAGCAGGAUGUCAUUAUGCCAAUUCUUGUACCACGCAAGCAUCCCUUAUAAUAGGUGUGCAGCCUGACUUUUUCCUCUGUGGAGAUGUUUAAUUUUGCUCAAAUGAUAUUUCAUGGGCAGCAAACAAAAGUUAGAGCAGGAUGAGGGGGUCAGGAAAUGGUUUUUCACAGACACAGACUCUUAUUUUCAUUAUCUUACCUUAGUGACAAUGGCAAUAUAAUAUACAAAUUCUUAUGAGUAGGGGAGAGUGGAAGACCUGCAAAAGAAUGGGUCUUUAUUUACAAGGUAUUUACACUAUUUAGAAACUGACCUUUUUUCUUUAUUUCUAAUUUUGGGAAGAUGUUGUCAGACUUGAACAAUUCAAAUAAGGUGCUGAAGUCACGUUGAUGUAACAGUUCCAUUUCUAAGCUCUUUAACUCUUUGGUGUUUGAAUAUAUAAAACCUUUGUGGUAUUUUAAUAUAAAAGAAUAAUUUUGUUUCUCUCAGUAAAAUAUUUUCAUUGUGAAAAGUUACCAGUGUUUGGAGUUUCCUCUUUUGGCUAUUGCUGUAGGAGUCAGAUUCCAGACAGAGAGAUUCUGGUGACUGAAGGAAAAGGAGUCCCCAUAUCACAAAUUUGGUUAAAACUCUAAAUAACAGAAGAAUCUUUAAUGCUUUCCUCUCUGAAACAAACCUGGAAUCUUUUGUAGAUAUUCAGUAUCAAAUUUUAUUUGUCUUAUGCUAGAAUCCUGACUUUCCUUCAUUACAAUGUUUAUCUAACGCUUCAGAUGUAUAUUUUAUCCUGUUUACAGUAAUGCCCUUAGUUUCAGUGUACAUAUUUGAAUCUCUUAUCAAAAAUAUAUUUAAGCUCAUUU